rnacentral:rRNA from 1 species
UACGUAGGGUCCGAGCGUUGUCCGGAAUUAUUGGGCGUAAAGAGCUCGUAGGCGGUUUGUCGCGUCUGCUGUGAAAUCCCGAGGCUCAACCUCGGGUCUGCAGUGGGUACGGGCAGACUGGAGUGCGGUAGGGGAGAAUGGAAUUCCUGGUGUAGCGGUGGAAUGCGCAGAUAUCAGGAAGAACACCCGUGGCUAAGGCGGCUCGCUAGUACGGUACUGACGCUGAGACGCGAAAGCGUGGGGAGCGAACAGG